UGUAGUGUUAAGCCAUUUAUCUUAGAGUCUCAAAACUCAGUUAUUAUCUGUCUAGUUAGGAGCUACCUCUUGAUCUUAUAAAAAAGAGAUUUCCAUCAAUUGUCUGUUGAUCAUACUGUGAAUUCUGUAGAGAUUUUUUAAAAUACGGAAUUAUUUUAAAUGUUUUAAAGGACACAUAGAGUAAUACAAAUCACUGUUUUUUAUUUUAUGAAGUUCAAGACCAAUCAGACAAUCCUCUGAUUAUGUGUUAUGCAAAAAUAUCUGAUGUUUAUCCAGUAAUUGAAGAAGUCGUGAAAGUGGGAAUUAAGUAGAAUCAAUAAGAUAGCUUUCCAGAGGAAAGAGCAGAUGUUUUUUCAUGUUUUGAGACAUGAAAAGUAAGUUCUUUCUCAAAAAAAAAAAAAAGUGCUAUUUCUUCUUUGGCAUCCACAGGCCCUACCCUUACAAAAAAGGGAGACAGGGUAAGAAAAGACAGAAAGGGAAAGGAAGGAAGAAAAUAAAAACCAAUUAUGUGUUAAAAACAAAACCAAAACCAAAACCUUUGUGCAUGUAAAAAAGAACUAGUAAAUAUUCAAAUAAUCUAGCCUUCAUAGAAAGAUUUAAGAGUCCAGUCUUGUAUUAUCAGAAGAAAGGAAGAAUGGGCUAUAUCAAAAUCUUCACUGAGUCUGUCUUCCCUGGCUAAAAAUCGAUAAUCCUGGCCCAUUAUCCCACACACUUAUUUUUCCCACAGAAAAGAUAUGUGUGAAAAGCUAUGCUUAAGCUGCAUAGCUGCAUUUCAUGUGGGCUAUAGACAUUCAAGGGUCCAUUUUUUUCUGAUUUUAUGAGAAGCUUGAAACAUUGACUCAGAAAAUUUGGUCAACCUUCAUGAAAUGAGUAUUUCCCUUCCUUUUUUUUUUUUUCCUUUCCUUCACUUCUGGCUGCCUUCCAAUUCCCAGUACUAUAUGUUUUUGAUUUUGGUUGUUUUGACCAUUAUUAAGACUUUCUUUUCAUGCACAACUAUUUUUCAUUAGAAACAUUUGGACAAAAUAUAUUGUAACCAAAAAACCAUAUAGUAUUGUUGGUAUUAUAAUUUUAGGUAAAUUUUACAUACUUGAAAUAAUUAUUGUCACUCAAAAUCCAAAAGUUAACUUCAAAUUAGUUUGAGUCUAAGAUUCAAUUUCAGAAAGGAAAAGUUUAAUCUUUACCAAAAUCAAUGAAGCUUACCAAAAACUCCAGCAAUUUUGAAAUAAAAUAUAAAAUGCACACAAAUAUACUUCUAAUAUUUAAUGUAAUUUUUACAUAAAAGUUGCGUUGUUUACAUGCAUUCACAGGAAAGUAAAAACCAUAUGGCUAGACAGCUGAUGGCUACUUGAAUAAUCUAGAAGUUUUUAGUGUUCAGAACUAAAUAUAUUUAAUUGGAAGCCUUUCCAUAUGAUUUCACAAUUAAGGUACUUUUUAAAUUACAUUUUCGAUAAGUGGCCAGUUCUUUUCAAAGCUUUAUUUAUCAGGUAAAAAAUUCUAAGAGCCUUUGAGUCAUUGAUGGCAGUCAUUUUUUUGUCAGAAAUUUCAUUUUAUGGAAUAUGCAAAUUUCCAUCUAAUGGACAAACAUUUCUGAAAGGUAUGAAGAACAAACAGUACUUUUACCCAUGGUCUCUCUUAUAAAAAAAAUCUUCCUUGUUAAUUCCAAAAUCAGCAUUCUUCAUAUAUAGGGAAAUAUAUUCCAAAAGGCUAUACUUAUGCAUAGUACAUCCUCAUCUCGGCAGAUAUGAAAACUUACUGCAGCAAGAAAUAGGUGGCUACAAGAGUCCUGCACAUCUAUUUUAACAACACAUCUACCUUUCAUUCCACAGUUCAUUGACCGUAUUUGGUUGCCUCACAUCAAAGGACAAGCAAGCAAAUGAACAUAAACAACAACAAAACUUUGGCUGUACCCAUAUGUUGAUUUCCAGGCAAAGUGCCAUAAUUCAAUUCCACCGAUAAUAGAAAGCUAUUGCCCAAGCUUCAGAAUGCCUAUAUUUCUUUCACAGAUGGCAACUUCUUAAAUAAUUUAGCUAGCACCCUACACAACUUAGUAUCUAACAGUGAGGCAAAGCCAUCCAGUUUAGCCCUUCAAUCUGUUUAUCCUUUCAAUGUUAUGAAAGAGUGAUGCCACUGCAGACACAUGCUAAUGAGAGCUGGAGAAUGCAUAUCUGAUAAGCUGCUAAGAAGAUGUAAAUAUUGAAAAAGCAUUCAAAAAUUAAAAAAACAAAGCUCAGCAAUGAGACCCACUGAAGUAUAAAGCAAUGGCUCCAGACAGUGGAGAGCUAGAAAAUAGCAGCAGCAUGAAAAAUGAUAAUUUGUCCUGGAGUAAUCAUGAGUGUCUUUCUCUUUUUCUUUCCCUUGCUCUUGCUCUCUCUUUUAUGAAACAAAGAAAGAGAAGAGAAAUUUGAAAAUGACAAUCUUCAUGUAGCUAGUCUUAAACUGAUCCACAAGUAAAAUUAUUCCCAUUCAUCUUAGAAGUUGCAGGGCAUUCCAUCUGAGUUAAUAAUGCAAUAUGAGAUCUAUAAAAACACAUUCACUGAUGUAAUAGGUAUACAUUUGGCUUUUAAAAUUUAGUUUUCUUCUUUUAAUAUUUCUUGAUGUGUUGGAAAGUACUUAUAAAAUCUUAAUUGGUAUUUUUUCCUGAUGUUUUCUUCCAUACCCUCCUUUUUGCCUUUUACCAUGUUCAAACUACUUAGUUUUUUGUUUUGUUUUUUUAAUUUGCUUGUUUGUUUUUAAUGCUCAUCUCCUCAGUAGAGGAAUACAUUAGGUAAAAGAAAUCAGAGGAUCUGGAAGACAGAGAACAGGUAUUCAAUAGCCCGGAGAGGCCUGAGAAAGAAUCAACACCACGUAUAAAUUCGUGGGAUCUGAGAAUAACAGGGUUACUUAAAUAAAAUACCCCAGAAGCAGCAAGACCCCAGGAAAAAAAAAUAACAUAUCUUCUGUGCGUGGACAGAAAGGACUGUAGACUAAAUCAAAGAGUUCCCUGAGCUGGUGGGACAUGGAGGCAGCCAAGCAACUCCUAUGAUGUCAAGAAUGGCCUGAGAACAACAGAAGAACCCACUAGAUCUAAAACAGUGUUAAAGACAGAAAUAUUAUAUUUCAUUACAUCUAAGUUCCAUGGACUAAGAUGUGUAUCCAUCUAAUUUUCAAAAUAAUUAUUGCUUUAAAAUGUCAUCUUCCAUCCAAAUGGCAUUUCUGUGUUUAGCAAAGGAGGUAUAAUAUGGAAUCUGAUUCCUUGAUUUCAAAUCCCAGCUCCUCUGCUUAUGAGCUGAGCAAGGCAUUUAUCUGCUCUGUGCUUGAGUUUAAUAAAUAUCGCAUCUACCUUCUAAGGUCAUUAGAGGAUUGUUGAUAUCUGUGCUACUUAAAUAUUUAACAUAUAUAAAAACAUUUAAAUACAUCAUCAUCCAGAAAUAAUCACUGUUAAAAAUGUGAUACUCUUUAAUAUAUAUAUAUUUUAAAAUUGUGAUCCUUUAAUGUGUAUCAUCGUACCCAUUUCAUUAUAUAUACAUUAUAUAUUCACAUAUAUUUGUAAUGAUCAGUUAUACUACUAUUUCCACCUGAAACAUUAUGAAAUCAUGUUAAUAUUUAUGCCUGUUUGCCUUGUUUUUUUAACUCUCUUAAAAACAGUAUGAAUUUUUUAGCUCAACUAUAAGUAAUGCCAAAUUACUUUCCAGAUCUUGCCAUAUCACAAUCAGUAAAUAAAGAAGUUACAUUAUAGUUCUAGAUAUAGAAGCAUGUUUUAAAUAUUCCUUUUCCCGGAGUUUUCACUGUGGCUCAGAGGAAACAAACCAGGCUACUAUCCAGGGUGGGGAUGUGGGUUCAAUCCCUGACCUCGUUCAGUGGGUAAAGAAUCCAGCCUUUCCCUGAGCUGCAGUGUAGGUUGCAGAGGAGGCUCAGAUCUGGAGUUGCUGUGACUGUGGCGUAGGCCCUAGCCUGGAAACUUACAUAUGCCGCAUGUGCAGCCCUAAAAAGAAAACAAGCAAACAAAAUUAUUCCUUUUCACAACUCUAAGAACAGUACUGUGUAUUUUCACCUUAUUUUCAAAUUACUUUAUUGAAUAUCUCAAAAAUGUCUUAAAACUCCUACUGCUUGCUUCAGUAGGAAAUCUGUGAUACUGCAAAAGACAGUGUGAGUAUGACACCUGCUGGCUGCCUAUGAAGUGACACAGUUAUUACCCUUUGAAUUUAAAUCUUAAUUUCAGUUUACAAAGCAAGGAGAAUCCGGUCCCAGUGUUUCUUUCUGAGGUAUAGAUAAUUGGUCUUUUUCAUACAUAUUUCGUAUACUACUUUUCUUAAUAAAUUUAUCAUUUCAUAUUUUUGACUCUUGUAAUGAUGGUUCAAUAUUUUAAAUAGAAAUUUUAAGAAAGACUUAAACCUCAAUAUUACUUAAAUUUUAUUUCAAAACUAUUAUAUAACAUUUGAACUUUAAGUUCAAAUAUAAAUAUCCAUAUAAAUUUUUAUAAAGUAAUUUUAUUACAAAAUUGAUUAUUUUUGAAAUGAAGAACUAGUGCCCCACCAUGAAAAUAGAAAGUAAAACUCAAGCAUUUUUAUUACCAGUUUCUAUGUGCUAUGUUAAGCUUACCAGCAUUGUAAUUAUAAUGACAAGUGUUUUGACUUUUGCACUCAUCACUAUCUACUUUGAAUUUUCUACCCCUACAUAAUCAUUAGCAUCUCUAUUUUUCAUGUAUGCUUUGAGUAUAUACCAAUUUAUUUAAUCAUACACUUUUUGAUUUAAGUUCUUCCUGUUUCCAAUUUUGCUUGAUUCAGAAUUAUACUGAAAUUAAUUACUUAUCAUGGAAAAUUUUCUGUAUUUAAAAAAAUGAGACAUUCUUAUAUGUCAGAGAUUGAAGGUAGUUUCCAAGAUGAAUGUUCUUUUGGGCAUUUAAAGCUAAUAUUGAAUAUAUUCCAAUUCUAAAGCAAAGUUAGGUGUGAUAGAGAUUUUUGUUGUGAUACCAAUAUUGUAAUAUCAAAUAUUUCUAAACUAUUCAUUGGGUUCUCAUUUGUAUGAAAUACUGACUUAAGCAUAAGAAGGAAUGAGACACAGCUGUCUCACUUCUUGCACUGAAAAUACCAUUUGUUUUGCAUAGCUGUGGCUGUGGCUGUGGCCGUGGCCGUGGCCGUGGCCAGCGGCUACAGCUCUGAUUAGACCCCUGGCCUGGGCAUCUCCAUAUGCUGCAGGAGCGGCCCUAG
rnacentral:lncRNA from 1 species